CGAUAGUUGCCGACUCUGCCGUGGCUGUUCAAUGGAGCGCCGGUUAAGCCUGCCUGAAGUAGUUGUGUUGCGUCUCGUGGAAGUCAUGGCAUGAAACUCUGUCAGGAUAUUCUUGCAGAAAUCAGUGAACUACAGCACAAAUGUCUAUGUUGCCUCAGAGUACUUUCAGAGCGGCCAGACCAACUCUCGAAUGAUAAAUUAUUAUGAUGAGUGGUAGUGGAAAGGAACAGUCAGGAAGAUGUGUCUGCAUUCUAAGAAGUCCCGAGAAAUAUCAAACAAGAUUACAAAAGCUUAUAUGAACUCCUGUAUUACGUUUAUCAAUGCUGUGUAUAUCACUGGAAUACCAGGUAACUACCAGUUCAGCGGUCCCGUAGUGAUGAUUCUGGACAUCAUACAGGACCAUCUUGGCAUAUGCAAGAUUGUGCGCUGGGUGGAGGAUGGCGAGUGGCGUGACUGGCUACUCCCCCCUCCAUGCCUUUCCCGUCCUCUACCCGCUUCGUCAUAUUCGUCCUCUUCCCCCAUCGUCACAUUAAUCACCGCCUGCCGCCUGAUACCUUUACGGCAGGACGUGUAACAGCGUGAGAGAUUUAGAGUCCGAAGGAAAUCCUGCGCGUGAGUGGGCUGGCGUCCUUCGUCUUGUUGGCAGUCUCGAGAGCGGGGCCUGUCGGCUAUUGUGUACUUGUUUCAUUCAUGUUUCGUUCCGUUAAAUGCGACUUAUGUUCAGAGCUCACUGUUGGGGCUUUGGAACCAGAGGACUUCGUAAUAUUCUGCUGUUUGCGAUUGUCUGUUCUCUCCCGGGGCUUUAGCAUUAUACCGGGGGUAUUUGCCAGUCUUCCACCAGAUCACAAAUAGACCUCUCUCUAGCAGGAGGCUGUAAUUUUCUGUAGGCGUGGG